rnacentral:rRNA from 1 species
CCUACGGGGGGCAGCAGUGGGGAAUAUUGCACAAUGGGGGAAACCCUGAUGCAGCGACGCCGCGUGAGUGAAGAAGUAUUUCGGUAUGUAAAGCUCUAUCAGCAGGGAAGAAAUAGCGACCUUUGGGUCGCCAGACGGUACUUGACUAAGAAGCCCCGGCUAACUACGUGCCAGCAGCCGCGGUAAUACGUAGGGGGCAAGCGUUAUCCGGAUUUACUGGGUGUAAAGGGAGCGUAGACGGCAGCACAAGUCUGAAGUGAAAUGCCGGGGCUUAACCCCGGAACUGCUUUGGAAACUGUGCAACUAGGGUGCAGGAGAGGUAAGUGGAAUUCCUAGUGUAGCGGUGAAAUGCGUAGAUAUUAGGAGGAACACCAGUGGCGAAGGCGGCUUACUGGACUGUAACUGACGUUGAGGCUCGAAAGCGUGGGGAGCAAACAGGAUUAGAUACCCGUGUAGUC